rnacentral:rRNA from 1 species
AUCUACGGCCAUACUACCCUGAAUGUGCCCCCGUCUAGUCUGAUCACAGAAGCUACGCAGAGUCCAGCCUGCUUAAUACUUGGAUGGGAGAGUUACAACAAGAAAAAGACGUGGAUG